CCCGGGAUCACUGCAACCUCUCUUCCUCGUUUCUCGUGAGACUUUGGAGAGAAGGCUCCUCUUUAGAGGUUUCUCAUCUUGCAAGACAUCUAGACGACCACAUGGAACAUGAGGCCACAUCUCCGUCACCGGGUCACCGUCCCAUCUGUUCAGCAACCAGCCUGCAGCCUUCUGUCUCCACUCCAACUUACACCCACACUCACAGUAAAAACUCACUCCUUUUACCAGCAUUUUAUUCUACUCCUCCUGGGACGGCAGACACUGCCACAUGACUCAAAAAUCUAGCUUUCAAAUCUCAAACUGCAGCUAGUAUCCAGGAGGGAAAGUACAUCAAUCUGCUAUGAGCACCUUGCUUAUUGACUACCUGCCAAGACUAUUUAUUUUAGCGGUAACUCACUUCUAAGUGAAAUGUUUGGAGUUCAUAAGCAUGUCCAAGUUUUACCACAACCCUACUGCUACGAAUCCAUGUUUCUGCCACCUUUCACAACCAAACCCUGCUCAAAACAGUUAUGAAACCUUUCCAAUCUAACCCAAAGGCACUCAUUUACCAACCACCUCAGCAAACUUAGGGUUGGAAUAACAGUAGUAAUUCAGAAAUACCUUUGUUUCCUUAAAAUAAUCAUUGUUGGUUUUUGUUAAAGGGAAAUUUUAAAAAGGCACAAGCUGCUGGCUUUCGUUAAAUUAGGGUAUCUAGAAGUACAGUCUGUUUCUUAACAGGUAUCAGUAAAUCAACUUUUAAUAAAUAGUAACACGGCAGGGGAAGAUAGCUUCUAUUUUGCAAACAUGUUCAUAAAAAUAAUCAAUCCUGAAUCUGAAAUAAAGAAUCCUCCUUUGCCUUU